UUAUCUUUUGUUUUCUCAGGCUCAAAUUAUGGCUACUAGUAUUGCUUCGGAGAGUUUGAUGAAAUGUGGUUCAUGUAAUAUAAUUAUUACAUGUUAUGAAUGGAUAAAAGAAAAAUGGGAUCAAUUUAAUAAAAAAGAUAAUACAAUUGAAAAUCAUACAGUGCAAAAUUACAAUAAUUGCAAUAUACAACAAACAACGAUUAUUCAACAAUUAACAAUUAAUAAUUAUACAAUAUACAGAAGUAGUAAACACUCCACAAUCUAAAGAGAUUAAAUGAAUUAAUAGUUUCACAAUCCUGCUCCUUGCACUCCUAAUGAGUUGAUGAGUUAAAUCGGGUGUGGUAGAUAAGGUCGAUAACUUAGAUGAGAAGUGUUUGGAGAGAGAGUGGAGGUGGCGGGGUUGGGUUGGGAAGCCAUAGAGCAGGGCCACCAGGGGCAGGAUUGAGAAACUCUUUAAAACAUCUACAAACAUUUAACAGUAACAACAGCUCUAACACAUUCUCAGAAGUAAUAAUACUGACCAUUUUUUGUAACCUUCCGAGGAGAGAUCUUGUUAUGUCUUGGCCACAAAACCACGUGUUAUAUGUUGGUCUGGAGCAGGAGGAAUCUUCACAAAGGUGGUGCAGGAAUAGUGCUGAAAGCUUCUGACAACAACUAGAACCACCUCCAGACUGCAUACAUCACUGUAAGGUCAACAAACACAUCUCUCUUCGUUAAGCCUCUUCAGUUUCCGGCAGUUUGAGUGCCAGAGCGGACUCAGUGGAUCAGUACACAAGCAGUGCAUGCAACUGAAAUUGCUUACUGCAACUGGCCCACAAAGACUGCCUUGCCAAGCACAAAGUAGAGCCAUCCUUAGUGCGGUUCAACUGCUGCCGACGCACCUUCCUUGCAGAAACACAUCAAUGAAAAAGUCAUCAUGUGUGCGGGUGUAUGCGAGAGGACAAGACGCAUUGGGAUCAAGAGAAAUGCCUGGCUUGCCAAUGUGUACACCCGAGAAAAUAACUGAUAAAUGGUGAAAAAUAUGAGCAUAAACUAGGGUGCCCGAUACUGCGCUCCUGUACUCUUACUCAUAAAAAUGCCCCGAUACCAAAAGCUGAUACCACACAGCAUGUGAACAGUCCUGUGUCCAGAUAAAGAAUCACCGACAACAGAACAAACAAGAAUAGAGAUUAAGGAUGUCUAUGAAGUACAUGUAUGUAAUUAAUAUAUAUAUAUAGCUGCUGCAAUGGUACAGCUUUAAUGUGCUAAUAAAUUAAAUAUUAAGUACCAUAGAUAAAAAAAUUUAAAAAAAAUUUAUAAAAAUUUAAAUUAAAACUGAACCGUGAAAGUAACAAAAGCUUGUAAAAUAUAUUAUAUCUAUUUGAUAAAUGAACUAAGCCAACUAAUAUUAUACAUAUUCUUUUGGUUUCUGUAUUUUUAAAAAUUAUAAAUGCAAUGAAAACACAGGUAUUGGUUCUUGAUAUCGGCAAGCACCAAAAAUAAAAGUAGCGUUAUCGGCAUUAUCCUGGAAAAAGUGGUAUCGGUGCAUCCCUAGCAUAAACUCAUACAUGAUGAAAUAAUAAAUGAUGAGCAUUGCAA